CUCUAUCACACGGUACCCAGUCACCGCCAUAUUGCUUAUGUCAUAUUUGUUGACAGUAAAUAUCAUGAAGGUUAUAAG